UCCACGCCGUAAACUAUGAUCACUCGUUGUCUGCGAUACACGGUAGGCGACUGAGCGAAAGCAUUAAGUGAUCCACCUGGGGAGUACGUCGGCAACAAUGAAACUCAAAGGAAUUGACGGGGGCCCGCACAAGCGGAGGAACAUGUGGUUUAAUUCGAUGAUACGCGAGGAACUUUACCCGGGUUUAAAUGUAGGACGAAAUUCUGAGAAAUCGGAACCCCUUGGGCGACUACAAGGUGCUGCAUGGCUGUCGUCAGCUCGUGCCGUGAGGUGUCGGGUUAAGUCCCAUAACGAGCGCAACCCCUAUCAUUAGUUGCUAACAGGUAAUGCUGAGGACUAUAGUGAGACUGCCACGUAAGGUGUGAGGAAGGUG
rnacentral:rRNA from 1 species